CCUACGGGUGGCAGCAGUGAGGAAUAUUGGUCAAUGGACGAGAGUCUGAACCAGCCAAGUAGCGUGAAGGAUGACUGCCCUAUGGGUUGUAAACUUCUUUUAUAUGGGAAUAAAAUGUUCCACGUGUGGGAUUUUGUAUGUACCAUAUGACUAAGGAUCGGCUAACUCCGUGCCAGCAGCCGCGGUAAUACGGAGGAUCCGAGCGUUAUCCGGAUUUAUUGGGUUUAAAGGGAGCGUAGGUGGAUUGUUAAGUCAGUUGUGAAAGUUUGCGGCUCAACCGUAAAAUUGCAGUUGAAACUGGCAGUCUUGAGUACAGUAGAGGUGGGCGGAAUUCGUGGUGUAGCGGUGAAAUGCGUAGAUAUCACGAAGAACUCCGAUUGCGAAGGCAGUUCACUGGACUGCAACUGACACUGAGGCUCGAAAGUGUGGGUAUCAAACAGGAUUAGAUACCCGUGUAGUC
rnacentral:rRNA from 1 species